rnacentral:rRNA from 1 species
AAGGAAGGCAGCAGGCGCGCAACUUACCCUAAUCUCGAUUCGAGGAGGUAGUGACAAGAAAUACCGAUGCGGGACCCUACGGGUGCCGCGUUCGGAAUGAGUACGAUUCGAACCACCUAACGAGGAACGAUCGGAGGGCAAGUCUGGUGCCAGCAGCCGCAGUAAUUCCAGCUCCAAUAGCGUACGUUAAAGUUGCUGCAGUUAAAAAGCUCGUAGUUGAACGUUCGGGUUCCGCGGGACGGGGCCGCCCCGCGAGGGACGGCGCCGCCCCGGGGCUCGUGAUAUCUCAUCUCGCCGCCCGUCGCGAGGCGGACGGAGGGAUGGAUGAGGUUACCUGGAAAAAAUCGGGGCGAUCUAGGCGGGCGAACCUCGCCAACGAACGAUCGGACAUGGGAUAACGGAAGAGGGC